rnacentral:lncRNA from 1 species
ACCAAUUUUUAGGAUUUUCAUAAUUAGUAAAUUUAAUAUAUCAUGCUAGGAAAUGUGAACAAUUAGACAAAGAUAUACAUGCAUAAAUAGAAACCAGUUUUUUACCAUUUUUCUAAAUUACAGAGAGAUGCUAUUUAAUCUUUAUUAAAAUUCAAACUUUUAAGGUGAGAGAAAACAAUGUAAUCACAACUGUGACCUGACACAGAAAUAUUCUAGUUUGCAGUUUCUAUAAUCAGCAUACUUUUUACCUGUCUUUUUAUAGCCUUAUUUAUAUGUAAGUUUACAUGGCUGACAUAGUCCUAAUUAUAGCUGAUAUUAGAUAAAUAAAUCAACUAAAGGUGAUAAUGAACCAACUAUCAGAUAUCAACGGGUUUUGCAUUAAUCAUGCCUCUGACACUGACUCCUGAUAUAAACCUAUAAAACUGUACUCUUAAACCUCAACUCCUUCCCAGUCAAGUUGAAUAUAGGGGCAAUUAUAUGUCCCUGCUCAUGUCCAUACUGGUACAUGUAUUCUGAUUCUAACUCUUUAGCUCUUAUUGUUAUGUCAUGCUACAGUCUUCCAUAAUUUUGACAGGUUUAUCUUUUCUAGAAAUUCUUAUGACCUCUAGGAUGGAAGAGUUGUAGAAGUACAAGUGUAGUAGAUACAUUGUAUUUAAAGAUAAGUAUAGUAGGUAAAUUGUAUUUAUCCCUACAUUUAAAGUAUAGGGAUAAAUUAUAUUUCUGUAGAAAUAAGAAAUGUUAUUAUUCUUGAUAUAACAGAGGCAGUGAAAAAGUCUUACACUAUAUAUUUUUAUUAAACUUCAGAAGUCUUAUUUUUUCAGGCAAUAUGAUUCCAUCUUAUUGUAUAUUACUGAUAAUUAUCCACAGAGCCCCUGUCUCUUCAUGACUAUUCAAGUUAUUACUCACCAUUAAUGAACAUCUUACUAGCUUUCUAGUUUUCUAGGCUCAUUUAUCACAUUUUUAUCUUACUCUACUGAGACAGAAUUAUAGCUCAUAUACAGUAUCCCUUUCUCCUCAGCAUUUCCUGAAAGUCAUUCUAUGACUCUCUAGUUUUAUAAGAUCAGAAAUGGUUUAUGUGGUCAAAUAGUUUAUGGAAAUACUGUCUGCUGUGUUUCACUUUAUGUAUAACAUUUUAAAGCGUCUGAGAGGUCAACUAUAAGGGAAACUAUUAAGUUACUGUUCAGCAAUAUUAUCUACUUUAUAAAAAUUGAAAUAGUUAUUUUUAUUUUUCAGUAGUCUCCAAGUUUUAUUGCACCACCCACUGGGAAGCAUUUCUUAUUUUGUUUCCCCUAAUAAUGUACUUAUUUCUUUUUUAGGUAUGUACUCAUUCUUUUUGCUAUAUUUUCCACUUCUUCACCUAUCCAUUAGUUUUAUUUCUCAAAUUACUUAUUAGAGUCAUUCAUUGAUUCAGAAAAUAUUUACUGAUGACCAUGUGUCAAGCAGCUUUCUGGGCAUUGGGGUACACCAGUAAAAAAAAAAAAAUACCUAUCUUAUAGAUUUACCUUUCUACAAAAAUUGAGAAAUAAAAUAAGCAAACGUUAAUAAUCAAAUGUACACUAUGUUACAUGAUCAUUACUUUUAAAAAAGGGGGGACAGGAACUGUGAUGGUGAUUUCCACUUUAAAUAAUGUGGUGAACACUGAAGAAGGUGAGAGAAAUAAAGUGAGCCAUACUGGUGUCUGAGAGAUGAGUUUGUUGAACAGAGAGAGCAGACAGUACAGAUGCCUGAAUCUAGGUACAUGCUUUGUCAAUCAUCCAUUCAGAGAAUAGCAAGGAGGCCAGAAAGCUAGAAAUGAAUGGAUGAAGAAAAGGUAAAGAUAAGGUCAACUAUUUAACUGGGAUCUUUAAGAAUCUUAUAGGCCAACAUGAAGGUGUUGGUUUUUACUGUAGGCGAAUUGAAAAGCCACCAGAAUGUAAUGAGCAAAGAGCGAGAUGAUUUGACCUAUAUUUUAUCAGAAUUAUUUUGGUUUCUGUAUUGAGACUAGAUUGAAGAGAGCAGAGGUGGAAGAGCAUAACGAGACAGUUUCAAGUGCUUCUACACAAAUUAGAGUGAGAAAGAAUGAUAGCUUGGACAGUAUUACAGUAGUGGAGGUCUUGGGGCAGGGUCAGGUUCUGCACAUUUUCUGAGGAUAUAUUUCACAAGAUUUCCUUAAAUAAUUGAAAGGAUAGAAUUGUAAGUUUCUAGGAUGUAGAGCACAUUUUGGUGGGGAAGAUGCAGACCUUGAUUUCUAACAUGAAAUUUGACAGUAUUACAUUGAGAGUGGGCAGUUGAAUUUAAAGUUCGGCAUGUCACACAAGUCUCCAAACUAAGUCUUUCUCAUAGCAAAGAUACUGAAAGCAAUGGGAUUACAUGACAUCUUUAUGGGUGUUCAGCUAGAUCAAGAGCACAAUCUUAGGCUUGAGGUAUUCCAGUAUUGAAGGAGGCAAAUAUAAGGAGGAAUCUACAAAGUAGAAUAAGAAAGAAAAGACAAUAAGACAAGAGGAAAUCCAUGAGAGUAGGGUGUGCUUCAAGCCAAGUGAAGAUGCUGUUUCACAGAAGAGGGAAUGAUGAAACUUCUAUUUUAAUUGCACCUCUGAAUACCACCUUUUAAUUUUCAGUACUUUUGCAUUCCCCAGUCUUUUUAUUCAUAGCAUUUUACAACCACAUUUUACAUUAUCAAUUAUUCCAUAGAUAAUAAUUUAUUAAAUAAAUAUUAUUGAGGGACUUUGAUGCAUGGCAUUUAAUACCUACCCAUUACAGACACUAUGCUAAGAGUGAAACUUUUAGAGAUCUCAUCUCUCUGAACAGGUAAACAAUUUACCUUUAUAAUGCAUUAGUAUAGAAUUACUAGGUGACAUCAGAACCUGAGUUCUGCAUGGAAGAGGAAGGUGAAAAAAAGUAUGAGAAAAGUAUACCAAAAAAUGAAAUGUGGCUUUUGAGUCUUAAAAUACUAUGAGUUUUUUCAAGGAAAAACGAAAGACUGGCAAGAUUUCAGGUAAAGCGCAGAACAUAUACAGUGGAUAUUGGAGGGAAGAUAAAGCAUAACACUUAUUAGGAACAACAGAUAGUUUGACACAGCCAGGGACAUGACAGUAUUGGUACAAAAAUUGAACUGAGGUAAGCAACAGCCAUGAAAAUGUGCCUCUCACCCAUGCAAAAGUGCUUGUGAAAGUCCCCGUAAGUGGUGAGAAUCAUUAAAAAACUUUAAGUAAUUAAAAAAUGUGUUUCAGAAAAAAGGGUAUUGGUAGCAUUUGGGGGCAGGGGGUAAUAGGUCAGUUGAGUUACUGUUAUUGUAGCAGUUCAGAUGAAGAUUUCUGAAAGAUUAAAUACAACCAGGAGAAGUAGGCAUCUGGAGGGAAGGGUGAGUGUAUACUCUAUACAACAGGAAGCAGAAUGAGCACAAUUUAGUGACUUAAUGGAAAGAAUAUAAAACAGAUAAAUUUCAAAGAUUAUCAAGUGUUUAUUAGUGAUAAGAAAACAAAAGAAAAACCUGUGCGUGCGUGGGUAUUUCUUUUGUAAAUGAAGCUCUAGGAAGAAAAAAAGAUUAGUUGAAUGUUCUUUAUGAAAAUCUGUGUUUGGGUCUAUGGGGCAUGCAGAAAAUAACACAAAAUCGAAAGUCACUUAUAUUUCCAAAAUUAUAGUUAUUAAUAUCAAACAUUCCCAGGAAAUCCAGAUGAGAAUGGGGAAAAAAUAGCCAGAGUUUUGAAAUUAAGAAAGUGAUUGUUACUUGAGAAAUUAGUGAUAUGAUUGCUUUUCAUUACUGAUACUAUUUGUUAAUAAAUAGUCUAUAGCUGCUGAGAAUUGCAUGACAGUUAUAUGAAUCUGUGAGACUGUUUCAAGCCUGACACAUUUUGAAAUGUCUUAGUCACCAUAAUUGAAAGAAUUUAGACUACCAUACCUCUGGAAAGUUUUGUUACAUUGGGAUAUCACUCAAAGGCAUAUUUUUGAAAACUGAGUUGUUGCCUCAAGUGAAAUCUACAUGGCACAUUGCUGUUGAGUUGGUAGUUUGAAUAAUUCAUUCCUUAUUAACUAGAGUCAGUUUGAUGUAAAGUUAAAGUAUUCAUAAUCGUUAUUGCAUAGUUUUAAAAACUUUCCUAUUAUAUGC